CAAUAGCGUAUAUUAAAGUUGUUGCGGUUAAAAAGCUCGUAGUUGGAUUUCUGCUGAGGACGACCGGUCCGCCCUCCGGGUGAGCAUCUGGUUCGGCCUUGGCAUCUUCUUGGUGAACGUAUCUGCACUUGACUGUGUGGUGCGGUACCCAGGACUUUUACUUUGAGGAAAUUAGAGUGUUUCAAGCAGGCUUACGCUUUGAAUACAUUAGCAUGGAAUAAUAAUAUAGGACUUUGGUUCUAUUUUGUGGUUUCUAGGACUGAAGUAAUGAUUGAUAGGGAUAGUUGGGGGUGCUAGUAUUCAGCGGCCAGAGGUGAAAUUCUUGGAUUCGCUGAAGACUAACUACUGCGAAAGCAUUCACCAAGGAUGUCUUCUUUUAAUCAAGAACGAAAGUUGGGGAUCGAAGACGAUCAGAUACC
rnacentral:rRNA from 1 species